GUGUCGUCCAGCGGGUACCCAGCAGACAUCUGGGCCGAACUGCUGAACAACAGCACUCAGUCGGAGAGUUCCGAAUACUUCAGGAAUAACUACUUGGAGCUGAGAGUGUUCUACGACAAGAUGAUGGUGACAUCAACAAAACAGCAUCCUCAGUACACUCAGGCCACGCUCUUCUCUAAUGUUGGUGGCCAGAUGGGAUUGUGUCUCGGGGCCAGCAUCCUGACAGUCGCGGAGAUCUGGGAGCUCCUGGUAUUCAUCUUUCUGUACUUCGUGGACAAGCUUAGAGGACGAAAAGCUCGAAACAGGAUUAACAACUGGUGACAGUGCUAUAAAAUGAGGAUAAUUUCUUAUGUUGACGACGAUGUUUAUGGAACGGGCUCCUGAUGGUCAUCCUGUUCUUCCUCCUCCGUGGCAAGUGCAGGAAGAAAAUCAGGCAACAGAAUCAAACACAGGAAGACAACAGAACUUUGAUUCCUAUCAUCGAUGUAAAUGUUUAUAUAACUGGAGUGUUAUUUAUACGUCCAUUUUCAGAGGUGUCUCAUAGUCAGCAUCUAAACAGUAACAGAGAUUAUGGAGCUCUUGCUGUUCUUCUUCUCUGACAAGUCUGGCAUAAGAAAAGCUCGAAACAUAAUCAACACCAGGUAGAUAUUGCAACACAACCUCUUGAUGUGGCCUUUGUUGAAGUGUCAAUAAAAUGACCAAACUGCAAUAAACUCUGUGACCAAAGAUGUAUAUAUACAAAUACAGCAUACCCUUCAUUUACGAUCAGCCUGGGACUUCUUAAACAUGUCUUUCACAAAUUGACUGAAUUCAGAAUCAGCAAAUGGUACAUCGAGUGUACCGAUGAGGAGGCCUACUUAAUCCGUGUGUCAUGGCACAUUGAAAUCUGAGGAGUUGUUACAUGCAUCAGCUGUUCAAAAUGUACUCACCAAUAACAAAGGAGUUAUUCGAAGAGAGGAGGAGUUUUAACAAUAGAGAGAAGGAAGGACUGGAAGUGAUAUGCGAAACAUGUUGGCAUUUUGCAUAAGUGUGUCAAAGCAGGAAAGAGGGGUGUGUUAUAAACAAAAUGAAGGUUUCAGAUGACUCGGUAUUGGGACUAGGUCAACGAAUGCCAUGGCAGUGAUUUUCGUCUUAACUUCUUUUUCUUCUACAUAUUAACUUUAAAGUGAAUGCACACAUGAACUUUUAACUUGGCGGUGAAUGGAGUCAAGUUGUCGCUUACGAGUUGAACAAUUGAAGAAACAGCUAGAACCAAAAUUGGAUCUCAUCCGAAUUUUAUCAGGGUACAUUGGUAUCGCUAUUACCUCCACCCGGAAUAUUUGAUGUCACCUGCAAAAUAUUAAACAUUUAUUUGCCAAAUAUUUAAUGUCGGGUGGAAAGAGGAAAGGAAUGUGGUCAAAGAUUAUGCCUAGACAUGUUUUUGUCGCUGCUGUGAAGGGAAUGUCUGGAUCAUCAUUGCAAACAUUAACACUUCAUGUUUUAUGUUUAGACAAUUUGACUCCAUUCUCCAGUGACCAUUUGUUCAUUUUGUUCACGCAAAGCUGUAACUUUUUUCAAUGAUGUUCAUAUUCUGUCAUAGUAUAAGACUUUCGACGAUCCAAGCGACAUCAGUAUUUUCAUUUGAUGAUGUGAAGAUGUUUCUCUUACUGUGAUCACGCUCUGACUUUAAGUGAAUAGUUCCUCUCUUCUCACAGAAUUGUUAUGAAAUCAGGCAUACAGCCGAGUGUGUCCAUAUUGUGCUGACCUUUCAAGAUCGAU